ACACUUGUUAAGCAGGCGGUGGAACCACUGAGCUAAAUCUCGGGCCCCUUUAUUUAUUUACUUUUUAACUGUAAACUGUGUUCUCUGGUCUGGGAGGAGAAGGAAAUCUCUGCUUUGCGUAUUUUCAAUUCUCAGAUGAGGUGGUUUGCUUUUAAAUAGCGGGGGAUGGAGUACUGGAGAAACAUCUCCAAACAUUUUGAACACAGAGACCUUUUGUAGGUCAGGAACUAAAGUCUCCUUGCGAGAAUUUCUGGGAAUUCAUGACUGCUGGAUUGAUCUGCAUCAGGAAGAAAUCCAGUCACCCCUCUUCUGGAGAACCAUGUGACUAGGUUGGGUUGAAUUUCUGUUUGCAUAUGAAGAUGUUCGAGUCAGGGGGUGCUGUGACGGAAGAUGGAGGGGGGAAAUGAAUAUGGUGAAGGAAAUAAAUCUCAUUUUUAAAAAGUGAAGGCCCUGCUACAUGUCAGCGCUUCGAGGUGGAAAAUAACCCAGAGGUCUUGUCCUUGAGGAGCUCACGGACAAGUAGAUGAGACAGGUCGAAGUGUAAUAAAUAUAAAGGCAGUCAAAGUACAAUACUGCCAGGUCCAGGUUGUAGCUCAGCAGCACAGAGCCUGCCUGGCAAGCGAGAGCCCCUGAGUUUGAUUUCUGGUAUCCAAACCAAAAAGAGUACAAAACUACUGUUCGAAGCGUGGGGUUGGGAGUCUCCGGCUGAGCUGAAUCCUGAGGGAGCGGUCCUUAACCAGAGAUGACUGGGUGACACAGCUUUCUGGACGGGAGCCGGUAAAUGGCUCGGUACAGGAAUGGGGCUGCAGGGGGCGCCCACGAGCCCCCGGUCUGCCAGGCCCCGCUCCGCAGAGACACUGAGGGGUCUGAAGUAGGCGCACCCGCUAUUUCCAAUCUUUAUUUUUUUCUCAUGAACAUUCUCAUUGAAGAAAAUUUAGGGUUAUACAAGACAUGAAUAUAAAAUGUAAAAUCACCUUCAAUUCCACCACACAGAGAUAGCCAUUGCCUAUUUUGGUAUACUUGGCAUGUGUCUUUUGUAUUUGUGAUCAUUUUCUAUAUAAAAUUGUACAUUUUGAAUUUUUCACUGACGUUAUUUCCUGGCCACUUCUGUAAUCUGUGUUCUUUUUUGUAGAAUAGUUUUUGACUCACGGGAGUAUUGCAGAGAGACACUGUGCAGAGAUGAUACGUGUCUUCACCCAGCCUUCCAAGGUGUCACCACUUUACUUCCUGUCUCUUCCUCUCCCAGUCCAACGUGCCUGCUUGUGUCAUCUGUCCAUGGAGACUCUGAUGUGACUGCAGGAGUGGCGCAGCCUGGAACACGAGCGAGUGAGCGUCCCUAAACAGAGGCCUGCUGCAUUCAUGGUGCACUGAGCUUGGAAUGGAGUUUGGAACAAAAGCAAUUUGAGAACUAGGGAGUGCUCUGGGGCAGAUGGCCUUGAAACUUUUGUUUUGUUUUUGUUUUUGACAGGAAGUCUUACUGUAUUGCCCAGCUCUUGAAUUCAAAUUCCUGCCUCAGCCUCCUGAGCAGCUGUAAUUAGAGGUCUGCACUACCACUCCCAGGUUUCUCCUCAUGAGAUGGGACUCUCAGGACUUCACGGGCUUGCCUUUGUGUGAGCCACUGCGUGUUCUACUGCCGAUGAAUUUUCGGUGUGGUGUUACUAAGUAACCACCAGAUUGUUCUCCUUCUGUUUAUACUGAACAAAGACUGUAACCUUGAGUUUCCCUGUGAUCUUGACCCAUUCCAACCUGGAGUCUGAUCCAGUAUCUCCUAACAUUGUUCAAGGCCAAUGCUGAAGGACUUGUGCUCAUUUCCAAAGUCUUGGUUCAAUCGUUGGUUUUCACGUGUCGGCCACGGAAAACACUACAUACUGGCAGAGAUCACAGGUGAUGACGGAGACAACUCAUCUCCAGGGCUCAGCCCUGCUCCUGCUCGCUUGUUCAUCUCACUGAGAGAUGAGGCCUCUUCCUGUUUAGAGCGUGUUUGCCCACUCUUGGGGCCAUUUUCACGGCCUGCAUAAAUUUCAUAUUAUGUUGCGCGUUUCUUUUUCUUUUCUUUUCUUUUUUGGUACCAGGGAUCAAACAUGGGACCUUGUGAUUACAAAGCAGGCAGUGGAACCACUGAGCUAAAUCCCCAGUCCUGUUGUGCAUUUCGUGAGAGUAGAACUCUAUUAUCUUACUUUUCACGUAUAUCACAGUACUGAGCACAGUACUUUGCCGUUACAGGCUAAAACAAUACUUGUUCAUGUGAAUUCAUUAAUUCUCGACACUCUUUCCCUCAGAGGAGGCAUGCAGUCUCACAGCUUCAACUAACACUUUCAGCCUGUAAACUGUUUUGGUAUUGCCAGCUGCUUUCUAAAAGGUUCUGCUUCAAUUAUCUGCUUUCUUACAGGUUCCAAAAGACUGAUGGUGAAAUAAUCCUUCCUCCUGGACUCUUCUUGUUACAGGCCAAAUUGAAUUUUGUCCCCUUAAAAUUUGAAGUCCUCAGCCCUUGUAGAGAAGACUGGGUGUUUGAAGAAAUGAUUAAGGCGGAAGAGGGUCACUGGUGGUCCCUCUGAGAAGAGAUGAAGACCCUGAGAAGGCCAGAUGAAGAGAAGGAGGCCAUCUGCCAGCAGAAGAGGGAGGUCUUGAAAGAAAGCCACCCGCACUGGCCUCCGAAGUCCUUGGGUUUGGACUUCAGCCUCCAGAAUCGUGAAGAAAUACGUUUCUGUUGUGUAUGGCACUUUGUUACGGCCACCUGAGCUGUCUGAUGUACUUCCCUUCCUUUGGUUGCUGAUGGGAUUUUCUGAUUUACCUCCGCAUUUCUGGUGCUUGCUGCCUUCUCCUGGGGAUACAUGCUGUAUUAGGAAGUCGGUUUCUCAACAUGGUCAGCUCCUGAGAGUCACCAGACACUUGCACUGCUGUUACUUUAGCCCACCUGCAUCAAACACAGUGUACUACGGUCCCACUACUGAGUCAUCAGUUAAGAUAGAGUCACGUGUUCCUGGGACACGCAUGCUGGAGACUCAUUGCUCUGCUGGGAACACCCUUCUCGCCUCGCACUGUUGGGUGUGGGUAGAUAGGCACAGGUUCUUGCUGACUUCUCAUCUGUGUAUGCUUAGGAUUUUGGUGCCUGUCCUUGACUUUAAGAAACUUAGGAAAUGUCACAAUGUAAGAUAACUUCAGCCCCUCACUCUUUCAUUCUGAAAUUAGUUCAGAAUUUUUGUUUGUUUGUUUGUUUUGUUUUUGGUACUGGGGAUUGAACUCGGGUCCUUGCGCUUGUUAGUUCAGAAUUAACUCACACCUGAGGCACCUAGUCUCCCCAAAAUUUUGUAAGUGAAAAGAACCAUUGUUAGCUCUGUUGACCAAACACUUUCCUUUCCCCCUGCCUACAAUAGGUUACUGAAUAAAUCCUAAAGGUGACUUUCCCUGAUAAAGAACUGCAUCCAGGUGAAAUUCAGCUGCCUUGACACCAUACUUUGGGCAUCAACAAUCACAGUUCUGGUUCUGCCUUUGGGAAAAAUGGUAUUCAUCAUUAUACUGAGAUACGUUUCUUGCCAACUUUGUCCCUGGGUGAAGCAAUCACCCUAAAGAGGACACUUUCAUGGCUGCUUUCUGUCUCUUGCCGCACCAGGCUGCAGCAGAUCUGACACUCUAGUUGGUGCUAAGCUCAGAUCAUCGAGGGCAUGAUGGUCUUACGAAUGGGAGCAACAGCCCUAGAAGCUUCUUACCUCAGCUGCACACUAUGCUACCCCAAGUGAGGGGGCUGCUUCCCUCUGCCACCUUGGGGUGCUCAGAAGCCCCAGCGAGGAUAUACUGCGCCUGAUUUCUAGGUGACCCCUCCGACAUUGUUGCAGCCAGGGGUGCCCUUCGUUGAGCUCCCAGUGCCACUUUUCUAAGGGAGACACGACCUCUAGGGCCCACAAGUGUUCUCUCCAAGUUCUGGAAAUCCUGCAGACUUGAGUGCUAAGGCCUGCAGUUGGACAUCUGCAAAAUGAGCCACGCGGCCUCUUUCUUGACCCUUUCCCCAGGAGCCUGAUCUCUUGUAAUCCCAGUCUUUCUGGACUGCGUGUUACCACUCGGAGACACAGUACAAAUACUGCGCUGGCCAGCACUGUGUGGUACCUAGUCCUGUGGGGCUUGCUUCCAAAAGAAGAAACCAAAAGCGUAUCGUGCGUAGAAGGGCAAAUAGUGAUUCCUCCCAGCUUCUUUUGUUUCCUCAUCUGCAAAAUGAUGAGACCUACCUUGAAGGGUCGCUGAAAAGUCCCUAACGGGGCCUGCUUGUCCCGUUCCUGCCUCUAUGAGGUGAAGUGUGCCCACUUGCAACCAGAACCAUGUUUCCCUAGGUACAGGCCUCGUCCCUAGCUUUUGCAAGGAAGCUAUAGAAACUUUGGAAGUUAUAUUCGCUAUCCGGGUUUCCACACUCAGAAGCAACCCCCCCCACGCGGAGGUCAGCUGAAAACCAAAACCAAAAACCAAAAAGCAACCCCUUGUGGAGAGCAGUUAUUGCAAAAUUCAUUAUAUUACUUACAUCCUUUUCCAAUGACAGCAGUCACUGAAGCUGUCACUGAGCCUGAGGCCGUGACAGUGGCCAUGACUGAACAAGACUGAUAGGUGGGGAGAGGCCGUGCAGUGUGUGUGUGUGUGUGUGUGUGUGUGUGUGUGUGUGUGUGUAGGAGUUGCUCCCUGAUAUAAGCACUUUUAAGACCCACCUGUGUGAAGUACUGUAAUGCCCUUGACCACCUGUUUCCUGCCUGAUGUGUGACUUUGAUAUCCUGACCAUCUGUAACCCCUGCCUGAUGUGUAAUAGAUAAGCCCGAAUCAGUGCCACACAGCCCUAGAAUUUAGUAUAAAGGAGAGAGCACUCGGUGACCCAGAGAUUUGGUGGCCACUGGCCGUUCGUGAUCUUGCACUAGGUCACAGCCAAGAGUCUGCUCCAGGACAUCGGAGGGCACCAGCCCGCACCCCCGCAGACGUGAGUGCUGGCCGCAGCCUACGCUGACCCGCGCAUCAUUUUAUAGAAGAAAGUCGGGCUCCUCGGAUCUGUGCAGGUACAGGGAGUGGCAACUGACGGGCGGUAGUUAGAAGCGUGUUGUGUGAUUAAAACAUUUAA